GAAAUGUGAUAAGUAAUGUGAAUUGCAGAAUUCAGUGAAUCAUCGAAUCUUUGAACGUACAUUGCGCCCCUUAGUAUUCCGAGGAGCAUACCUGUUCGAGCGUCAUUAUAACCCUCAAGCCUAGCUUAGUGUUAAGACGUGCUGUUACCGGUAGUCCUUAAAACUAGUAGCGGUGCUAUCUAGCUCUAAGCGUAGUAAUACCUCUCGCUAUAGAGUCCCGGUAGAUGCUUGCUAUCAACCUCUAAUUUUCUAUAGUUGACCUCGGAUCAGGUAGGGAUACCCGCUGAACUUAA
rnacentral:misc_RNA from 1 species